rnacentral:lncRNA from 1 species
CUCCCCAAGACCAAACCUUCUUUUUCCUCAAUGUCAGCUAGAGAUGGCAAUCGAGCUCGUCGGCUCGAGCUGCCCAUGGCUCGGCCAGGAAAAAGCUCGAGCCAACCUGGCUUGGACCGAGCCCCACUUUUGGGAGCCGGCUAGUAAAAAAAGCAGUAUAAAUCUGCUACCUGUUUGGCAGCUAUUUUAGAGGAGAAAAUUUUAAAAAAUUUUCAGAAAAUCGAGCUCGGCUCUCAAUUUGGUAAGGCCCGAGUUGAAAGCUUGGGUCGAGCCUUAAUUUUUUGGCCGAGCUUUAGCACGACUCAGCUCGAGCCAAAAAAAUCCCACCUCAAAAAAGCUCGAGCCGAAAUUUCGGCUUGACUCUUUGACACCCCUAAGUCGUCAUUUCGGCUCGACUCUUUGACACCCCUAAGUCGUCGGCCCCAACGUCGCCUCAAAAUCAAGGACCACUGCCACUUUAAACUAAGAACAGUACCUCCACCAGUGCCACCAAAUUCGAAGAUGAUAAGAACCCAUUUCACAUCAGACACCAAGGUAUCAAGGUGGCCGAGCAGCUUGCAAAAAUCGAUGGUGGAGACUAUGGUGACUACACAGCGGAGCACGCUCUGUCGCUUACACUUCUUAAGAAGGGCCAAUGACUUUUCAAGAUUUUUCGAUAUCUCGACGGCGAUGCGACAAAGGGGAUGGUUGUAGAAGGAAAAACCAGCGGUGGUAGAGGUGGAAAGACGUGCACAGCAACAUGUAGCAUCUGGCAAAGAUUACCCACUUUCUUGCCUACCUCAAAGCACUCCAACUUGAACGACUUCACCUCCUUUACAGCUUCAUCAACCCCAUCUAACAACAAAAUUGGGUAUGACAUAACCUCUUUGAUUCGCUAUUCUUGUUAAAUAGCUGUCUGAUUUUGGGCCUGCUUAUUCUGAGGAAGUAUUCCUGGUGGUGUUCUUAUCGCCAUAUAUCAAUUGAAUUCAAUUGGUUAAAAUUUGAUCGGCUUGCACUUAAUAAUUCAGAAAAAAUGUGGUGGAUUCCAACAAGUAAUUGGUAGAGUAAAAAAGGUGAAUUUUUCGGUAUGGGUAUGUUAGUAGCCUGAGAAAAUGGUUGGGGUGGGAAAAUGAAAGUGGUCUUAUCCGGAAUUGAUAGUUUUUUUCCUAUGCUUAAGAGAGCCGUAGGUUUUAGGUGGUGUUGGUGCUUGAUUUUAAGGCAGGGUUGGGACCAACAUUGAGGUGGUGGUACUAGAGGUG